GAUGAACGCUGGCGGCGUGCCUAAUACAUGCAAGUCGAGCGAACGGACGAGAAGCUUGCUUCUCUGAUGUUAGCGGCAGACGGGUGAGUAACACGUGGAUAACCUACCUAUAAGACUGGGAUAACUUCGGGAAACCGGAGCUAAUACCGGAUAAUAUUUUGAACCGCAUGGUUCAAAAGUGAAAGACGGUCUUGCUGUCACUUAUAGAUGGAUCCGCGCUGCAUUAGCUAGUUGGUAAGGUAACGGCUUACCAAGGCAACGAUGCAUAGCCGACCUGAGAGGGUGAUCGGCCACACUGGAACUGAGACACGGUCCAGACUCCUACGGGAGGCAGCAGUAGGGAAUCUUCCGCAAUGGGCGAAAGCCUGACGGAGCAACGCCGCGUGAGUGAUGAAGGUCUUCGGAUCGUAAAACUCUGUUAUUAGGGAAGAACAUAUGUGUAAGUAACUGUGCACAUCUUGACGGUACCUAAUCAGAAAGCCACGGCUAACUACGUG
rnacentral:rRNA from 1 species